rnacentral:rRNA from 1 species
UACGUAGGGUGCGAGCGUUGUCCGGAAUUAUUGGGCGUAAAGAGCUCGUAGGCGGUUUGUCGCGUCGGGAGUGAAAACUCGGGGCUUAACUCCGAGCCUGCUUCCGAUACGGGCAGACUAGAGGUAUGCAGGGGAGAACGGAAUUCCUGGUGUAGCGGUGAAAUGCGCAGAUAUCAGGAGGAACACCGGUGGCGAAGGCGGUUCUCUGGGCCGUAACUGACGCUGAGGAGCGAAAGCGUGGGGAGCGAACAGG